CACACCUUUACUCUGCGAUUAUCACAGUUGCUGAAAUGUAUAAGCUUUUCAUCUCCUUGUCAGGGACCCUCAGCUGAACCCAGACUUGGCUCAUUGCCCUCAGCUAAUGAAGCUGGCACCUGAUUAGCUGAAGACUCCAACAGGCACCUGUAGCAGGCCUGGGACUCUGGCUACUCAAUAGUGUUCCAAGUCUACAGCUGUGUUUCUGGUCCUGCUUCCUAUUCUUAACUUCCUUCUUGCUCCUAGCCCUCAGUCUGGACCCUCCCCUCUCCAUGCCUGCUCCUUGUCCCUGCUUCCGCUCCUGGUUUCCUGCUCCUGGUUGUUCGUCCCUGCUUCUGGUUGCUGCCCAUACUCCAGCUGAUACUCUGGCUCCAAUACCUGACUCCUGGUUUCUGGUACUCAGCUCCAGCUUGCUUCCUGGACUUGAUAAGUUGGCUCCUACCUUGGCCGUUAGGCCUGGCUCUGUUUCAACCCUUAAGCCUCCCUUCUGCCCUGACCAUUAGGCAAAAUGUCACCUGCGCCCUGGUCACUAUGAUCCUUUUACAAUCCAUUCACUCUCAUCCAUAGAUUCCAUCUACCACUGUUAAAGGACAAAAGGUUUGGGGAAGGUUGUCAAUGCCACCUUUCUCUGUUCCUGUGUAACAGAGUGACUUGUCCCCUGUGCUGCUAGAGAGAUUGGGGCUAAACUAACCCUGAUUACAGGAUGAGCCCCACCUCCCCAUUCAUCUGUGACAGAAGAGGCUCUGAAAGGGGCCUAUUCAUCUCAAUGUGAUGUUCUCAAUUGACUGAGGACACCCAGUGGAGAUUAAUACAACCUCAAUCAAUAGCUCAGAGAUUUGUGAACCAGUCCAUUUAUCACAGGUGUUCCCACCCUCCUCUUGAGUGCUUUAGAGCCUGUAAUAUGCAUGAAGCAUGCCUGUUCUCAGCUCCUCAUGCAAAGGGACAGGACUUCCCAAGAUCUCUGGCUUACACUGGGGACAGGGAGGGCAACUCAGACACUCACAAAAGGGCAAGCUCCCCCCGAGUCUGACUCAUUUGAGCCGGGUCCAACCUGUGUAGAUAGGCACAGGCCCCCCAGAUAGUGGCACACAUAUUAGAGCAUUGAGAGUGGUUCAGACAGCCCCUCAGGGCAAGGUCCCCCCCAUAUCCCAGCCAAGGCCAAUCAGAGGGGGGACCCAGAAGGGCCAUUUGGCCUGGGCCUCAAGCUCAAAGGGUGCCUCAAAUUUAGACACUUGUUAAUUUUUUGGCAUUUGAUAAGUUUUGCAACUUGUUUUUAGCGCAUCCCUAUCGGACCAAAAUGUGACACACACUCUCAGCUUAGAGGUGCAAAUUUAAGCAAAUAAGAGAUGUGAUUUGGUAAAAGAUAUAUUUUUUUUGUUAACUGAUAUAGAUUUUAUCAUAUUAAAAAGUUAAAAAUGUUCAUAAAUAUUAAUAAAAAUAUAUCGGUUCUGAUGGCACAAGAUUAGACCGUGAUGAACGUGUCCUCUCAGAUCAGCUGAUUAUAUAAACAAACCACUACUAGUGGCUGGUGCUGGAUCAAGUGCAUGUUGAAAGGUAGAGAAUUGUUACAUUUUAGUGUCUUUAUUGUUUUACGUCUAGUUGACUAAGGAAUUAUUUGUGUGUGGGAAUUCCUCAUUAUUAUCUUCAUAUGGUAGCUAAAAGAGGUGACUGGUUGGUUGGUUGAGCCCUCGCUUGGUAGCUUGGCCAUCAUCAUAGGCUUUCGUAGUGUAUAGGCCCAGAUUCAAGGUGAACAUUUGUGAGGACAAUCUUGUAGAGUGAGUUUUGUGAGGGGAAAUGUUUGAAAUGUUUGGACAUUAACCCUGUCUGUAUCCGUGUCUGUGCUUACUAUAUGUAAGUCAUCCCUUUGUCUUCAGCUCAGCCAGUUAUAUUAUACCUUGUGUGAUUGAGUUUUGAUUCAGUGAUAAAGAUAAUAACCUGUUUGUUACAUUUUGUGUUCUUAAUUAGUAUUCCUUCGUUGUAAAUCUUUUCAGCAUUUGUGUACAUGUUUACAGUAGAAGAUUUCAAGUGUAGACAAGCUACUUAUUUACAGCAGGAUAUUUCAAGUGUGGAUAGGAUGGGGCAUCAACAGACGUUGGAGGAAGUUGAAAGACCAAAUCUCAUCACAUGAGAGUUCAAUGUCACACAAAGAAAACUAUGUUGCAUGGAAAUCAGCCAGUAGGGCAGCAUCAGCUGAAAGUUCAGUUGAGAAUUUACUCUUGACUGAACUCUCUACAGAAACUAAUAACUGGAAAAAACUUCUUGAGCACAUCCUGAAUGUCAUCCUUUUUCUUUCUGAGUGGGGAUUGGCUUUCUUUGGUUCCAGUCAAUGUAUUGGUGAUCAUGCAAAUGGAAAAUUUCUAGGCAUAGUUGAGCUCCUCAGCAAAUAUGACCCACUUUAUCAGAGCAUCUUAAACAUGUUCGAGAAUUGCAAGAGAGUCAAAAGCGCAUGCAAGUCCAUUAUCUCUCCACACGCAUACAAAAUGAGUUUAUUGAGCUAUGUGGGUCAUUCGUACAAACAACAAUUCUUGAUGAAAUUCGAAAUGGCAAGUAUUUUUAAUCAUGGUUGAUGCUACUCUAGAUUGUUCUCACAAGGAACAGACUACUAUGGUUAUUCGAUAUGUUAAAGUUGUAGACAGCUCAAAAUUUUCAGUUGAAGAAAGGUUUAUUUUGUUUGAUAAUUUCAUGAGAAAAACUGGAAAAGAAAUUGCUGCUUGAAUACUAGCAGGUUUUAAGUUAGAUUUUCAAGUGUGCAUUAGUCAAGUCUAUGACAAUGGAUCUAAUAUGGCUGGGAAGUACAAAGGUGUACAAGCAGUUCUGCUUGAGCAUAAUUGAAACUGUAUUUUCUCCCGCUGUGGAAACUACACACUAAACCUUGUAGGUGUUUACUAUGCUGAAUCAUGCAAAGAGGCAAUUACUUACUUUGGAACUGUUCAGCAAAUGUACAAUCUCUUCAGUAGCAGUCCACAAAGGUGGGAAAUUCUGAAGCAAUAUCUUGCUGUUUUACUGCAUGGGAUGUCUAAAACUAGGUGGUCUGCAUGGAUUGAUGGUGUUCAACCAGUUGCGCAGCAUUUGAAUUCAGUGAGAGAGGUUUUAAAUGAGCUUGAAUCUCUCAAUCUCACUGCACCGGCUUGAACUGAACUUCAGAAUGCAUUCCAAUUUGGACAUGUGCUUCUGAAUAGACUGAUAUCAUCUUUGUUGAUUAAGCUACUUACAAUGAUCCACCAAAUUAAUCUGGUAAUUGAAGCAUGCAAUGCUACACUUGAUGUUGAGAGGGAUAACAUUGAAAGUCUUAUCAAUGACAUUCAACAGAUUCGUGAACAAUGGGAUGCGAUCCUGACUGAAUCCAAAUUAGUAGCACAGAAUAUGGGCAUUUCAUCUGAGUUCUCCACCAAUCGCAACUUACCUACUGAAUCCAAUGCCGAGCAGCGUUAUAGGUUCAACCGACUGAGUAAUGAAGCUCUACUUUCUGCAUCUGAACAAUUUCAGCAACAGUACAACAAAGAAAUCUCAAAAGAUCUCAGUGAUGAGGUCAUCUUCCUCAAAUGAAUAUAUUCCACGAACUUUAAAUUGGAUCACAAACCAAAGGAAUUGCUUCAAGAAAUACUCGAACUUGGACUCUCUGGCGUGUUUCUUAAUAUCACAAUUGCAUUGCAUAUUUUUGUCAGUUUGCCUGCCUCAGUGGCUUCAGGUGAAUGCACCUUCAACAUGUUGAAGCAGGUAAAGAGCCAUCACCAUUCAACUAUGGGACAAGAGCAUUUGAAUGGGCUUGCCAUGCUUAAUAUCAACUGUGACAUUGCACUAAAGCUCAAUUUAAAGCACAUUUCCUCAAUAAUUAGUACAUUUGCACAGAAAACGGCUAGAAAAGCAUUUGUUAAUAAAAAAUAUUCAAAUUA